rnacentral:rRNA from 1 species
GAUGAACGCUGGCGGCGUGCCUAAUACAUGCAAGUCGAGCGAAUGGAUUAAGAGCUUGCUCUUAUGAAGUUAGCGGCGGACGGGUGAGUAACACGUGGGUAACCUGCCCAUAAGACUGGGAUAACUCCGGGAAACCGGGGCUAAUACCGGAUAACAUUUUGAACCGCAUGGUUCGAAAUUGAAAGGCGGCUUCGGCUGUCACUUAUGGAUGGACCCGCGUCGCAUUAGCUAGUUGGUGAGGUAACGGCUCACCAAGGCAACGAUGCGUAGCCGACCUGGGAGGGUGAUCGGCCACCCUGGGACUGCGACACGGCCCAGACUCCUACGGGAGGUAGCAGUAGGGAAUCUUCCGCAAUGGACGAAAGUCUGACGGAGCAACGCCGCGUGAGUGAUGAAGGCUUUCGGGUCGUAAAACUCUGUUGUUAGGGAAGAACAAGUGCUAGUUGAAUAAGCUGGCACCUUGACGGUACCUAACCAGAAAGCCACGGCUAACUACGUGCCAGCCGCCGCCGUAA